AAUAUAACUUCAUAAAAGUGGGGCCAGAUCUGGCAGGUGCUUUGCAAGCAUGAUCUUUGGUACCCCCAUUAUUGUCAGGGAAGAACCUCUGUGACCCCACUGUCCUGCUGUUUGAGAGUCCUGAGAUUAAGCCACAAGUCCCCACUAGUCUCCUUGCUUCCAGGGGACCUGGUGCCGGAGGACACGGCAGAGAACUACGAUGAUGUCACCACUGCUGCGGAUGCGCAUCCAGACAGUGUGGCUGGGGACCUGUUGACAGAGGACAUGGCAGAGAACUACGAUGAUGUCAUCACUGCUGCGGAUGCGCAUCCAGACAGUGUGGCAGCUGCCAGUGGGAUGGACUAUGAUGAUGUGGGGGUGGAGCCACCUGAAAUAGGAGGAGCAUUUUGAGAUUUUGUCUGAGGAAGCGUCUGCCCACCUGUUUGGAUCGCACAGCAUACAUGCAACAAGGAAAAUGUUUCACUAUAAAACCACAUCCUCGUAGGUCAAUGAGUAAUUCACCUGAAAUUAUUGACAGUAGGUUCCUAAGCUUGUUCAUAAAUCAGGACAUUGAAAGUGUUGGUACACAUUGGAUAUAACAGCUUGUCUGGUGAUGAUGUGAUUAAAUAUGGGGAAAUUAAUAGCAUUUUUAGGUAUGUAAGAAUGAAAACAAUGAGCUAUAGCCUGUGUGGGCCUUUGCUUUAUAUAUGUGUGUAUUUCCAUCAAACCCUUUCAGUUGUGGCUGUGUUCAUCAUGUGUGGGUCAGAGCUGUCCAUGUCGGCUCUCUGAUUGACACAUGGAUGUGUUAUCAGCCAGACAGCACUGAUCCAGCAUCCCAACUCUCCUUGCUCCUCUGCAAGAUCACAUUUUUAAACUCUCCUUUCUCCUCUGCAUGAUCACAUUUGAUGAAGAUGAUUGUAUUGCACAUAGCUAAUGAGUUUCUUGCACUGGCUGCCUUGUUACUUUUCAAAACUAUGUCAUACUACUGGCAUUACUACUGUUUUGUGUGUGCAUUUACAAAUCUUGUCCAAGUGAUAAAAAUAUUUUCAAUAACAGAAAUAGACAUUUUUACUACCUUUUUAUACCAUAGUUUUAGAUAUUUGGAUUCUAUAUUUCUUGAAGCUUUUGAAUGACAGCAUUUCAUGAAAGUGAAAUAUUUUGUUUUGCUAAAAUGAUCACAAUGUAUUUCUUUGCCUGAGCAAUACUAGUCUUUUAACAGCUGCACCUCAAUAUGAUAUUUUCAAAUAAAGGCUUAUAGACACA